UCCCUGGUGGUCCAAGGGCUAAGACUCUGCACUCCCAAUGCAGGGGUUUGGGUUCGAUCCCUGGUCAGAGAA
rfam:TPA: Bos taurus chromosome 1, whole genome shotgun sequence.